CCGGAACUGCGAGUCUUCUCGAAAGCGAAAAGGGAGGGGCGAGCCAGGCUGUGGAGGUGGCUUCAGAAUGGGUAGAAUGGAGCGGAGUUUCGUAGAGAUUUACCUCCAGAGGUCGUUCUUGAGUCGGAGAAACCGGGACUUUGGGGGAAAAGGAUGUGGCCACAGCCUUGCCGCGCUUCUCCCGGCAGUGUUGCGGUCCUUCUGCCCGCAGGUCUCCGCAGGGCGCCUUCCCGGCCUGCUUGGGCUUGGCCGGCCUGCUGCGGCUCCACACUCGGUGCCCACCUCCGGGCGUUUUCUGAAGCUAGAGGCCCACAGCUAUGCAGCCCCGGAUACUCUCUGUUCCGUGCAUUGCCUGUCUGCCGCUGGGAAUUCGGACUGGAUGGAAUUCUUUUAACAACGUUGACCAUUUCUGCAAAAUCUUAGUUGGAGCUCUCUACCAGAGGCCUCAAGCUGCCACACCAGACGAGCGUGAACAUCUGAGUCUUCUAGGAGGACUCUCCAGCUGCUCUGGGCCUUGUCCAACUGGUGUCCAUCCUAAUAUUCCCACCCAGAGUUAUUUUUGCUAGAGGAGGAAGAAUGCCCUCCCGGGAGCCAGUUCUUGGGGGAAAAGAAGGAUUGCUGAGAUAGCCAGAGCCCACGGGAAAGGAAGAUAGCUGCAGCAGCUAAAGGCCACCUCGUCCCUGUGUUUCUUCCCUGUUCCUGUGUGCUUGAGAUGGCUACCAGCCCUAAAUCUACAGAUCCUUCCAGUACCAGAGACUGCUACCACCUGACCGCAGGACUGGGCACCCCUCGGAUUGUGUUUAGAAGAGGGAGACCCUGGAGGUAACUGGGUCCAGCCUGUGCUGAGUGGUCCACUCUGCCUGAUCCGUGCAGAGGUCACAACAGGGUCAAGCAGCACCAACAGGAGAGGUUGGCCGCAAGAAGCCAAGUACAAGGGCCUCGGCUUUCCAGGACAAGAAACGUGUGGGUGGGGAAAGAGGAACUGGGGUUGCGGUGACCCCUCACCUUGCACCCUCUCAUGGACACAGAUACACCUGGCGCUGUACUUUGCGGAGGGUGUGAGCACAUGUUUCUACUGUGCAAGCCCUGUGACAAUGCGGGCAGGAAUUCUCAAUGACAGAUGCCAUCAGAGAUUGUGAUGCUCUUGCUUCCUCUGGAGGCAGCAACCUUGUCUCCUCCCCUCAGUGUGGACUUGGCAGCCUUGGAUGGGGUCUGGUUGGCCAAUUUCUUUCUCAGUUUUGACAACAGAGAAAGUCAGAAAAUAUGAGGCCUUCACACACAGUCCAGUUACCUCUUAGGUAGAGGGUAGUGUUUGAAGUCAGCACAAAGAUGAAAACAUAUUUAAUAAAAAAUGUCUCUUGAAAAUCCUUUAAAUCACCCAAUAAAGUAUGGGACACCUAUGUCUCUCAGUAAGCCCUACACAGUCAGUUUUCCCUCUAGCAUGGGAGCGGGCCGCGUUUCUUGGCUGAGAAGCAGGUGGUAGCUGAGGACUCCCAGGGAAAUGCAGGUUGCCUCUGAGACAUCUCCUUGGAGGAAUGUGGGGGGAAUACCCCCCAACAUUAAAUCUUCUCCCUGUCCUGCCCCUUUCUUCUCCUCCCCCUUUCCU